GGGCGCGCGGCCUGGGCUGGCCGGUGCCGGGAGGAAGGAGGCUGUCCGCGGACCUGACCACACUGUCCCGGGCCACCGCUGGGCGCUGGGGCGGCCGCUGUCUCCCACCCUCCACGGGUGAGUGCGACACGCGCUGCGCGAACCAGGGUCUAGACAAGAAAGCUGCCGCCACUAGGACUUUUGCCCUAAGGGACCCACUGGCCCCACACUUUUUCCUGCUUUUCUUCUCCAUGGGGUGGAAGGGGGUAUCCACCCCCUUCUAUUGCAGACCCGUGUCUCCAGGCGUCUCCGUGUGCCCACGGGGGCGGCAUGAUUUUCACAGUACUUCAGACACCUGCAUGGCCCUGAACUCAACUCCCCAGCGCCUAGGAAGGAAUCGGACUGACAGCACUAGUCCCCCCCGUUACAGCUAUGCCUCCUGGCCACCUACCACGUGCCAGGUGCUGGGCACCCAGCCGGAGCCAGACACUGUUGCCCUCGGAAGCUCAGGCUCUGGUAGUGGGAGAGGCCUGAAGGAGAGAAACAGGACAAAAAGCAUCUGCUUAUGGGGCCAGGAGAGAACUCACCAGGGCUUCCUUAAAAUGGAGCAUAAUUUGGGUCCACCUGGAUAGAAACAGUCAAGAAGCACUGACUCCCGAAACGCCUUCAAGAAGCUCCUCCUACCACCCAAGGUGGCUCUGCGUCCCCAGGCUGCUUCAAGAUGGCCCUGGAGUUACCCACCACCUACAGCUCUGCCUUCCUUUCCACCUUCUGGUAGAAAGCUCAUUUUUAUCUACAACCUGGGCCUCUCCACAGAAAUCCAGGCUUGUAUAUCCAAUGACGACCCAACAUCUCCACGGGAGCAUCUAACAGGCACCUCAGUGUGAAUGUGUCCAAAACCAAACCCUACGUCUCCAGCUGUUCCUGCCUCACUGUGCCUCAACUCAAGUAUUGCUCUGCCUGUAAUCCAGUUCUCCAAUCAAACACCAAAGAGUGGUUCUUGAGUCCUCGCCUUUUCUCAUGCCCACGUGCAAACCCUCAGCAAAAGCAGGCAGUUGCACCAAAUGUAACCCAAAGCCACCCAUUUCUCACUAACUUCACUGUUCUUCCUCCCACCUCCCAAGAAUUCAGGCCUUCAUUAUUUCUUACUUGGACAACUGCAGAAGCCUCCUCCCUGGACUUGCUACUUCUACUUUUGCCCCUAUGUGGAGCAACCAGAGGGAGCCUUUAAAAAAUAUACAUCUGAUAAACCCUCCAGUGGCUUCCCAUUAAAUUAAAAUUAAAUACAAAGCCCUUGGUCUGCAAGGCCCUACGUAAGCUACGUCCCACCUGACUCUCCUUGGGUAUCAUCUCCUGCCAUUCUCCCCUUCUCUUACUCCCUCUGCCACCCUGAUCGUCCGCCUGUUCCUUGAUAACGCCCACAUGACCCCACCCCAGGGCCUUUGUACUUACUGUUCCCUCAGAUAUUGCCUGGCCACUACCUUACUUUGUUCAUUUCACAGCUCAAAAGUCACCUGUUAGAGACCUUCCCUGCCUGUCCUAAUAAAAAUCGCAUCCCCCGGCAUUCUCUGUCUCCUCACCCUGCUUCAUGUUCCUCAUUGCCCUUUCCGCUAUGGUGUAUUUUAUUCAUAUGUAUAUUUCUUUUAUUGCCUGUUCCUUUCACUUGAAUGCAGUCCCCACAAGGGCAGGGAUAUUUGUCUGUUUU
rnacentral:lncRNA from 1 species